rnacentral:rRNA from 1 species
AUUGAACGCUGGCGGCAGGCCUAACACAUGCAAGUCGAACGAGUGGCGGACGGGUGAGUAAUGUCUGGGAAACUGCCCGAUGGAGGGGGAUAACUACUGGAAACGGUAGCUAAUACCGCAUACCAUCGGAUGUGCCCAGAUGGGAUGAGCGAGUCGGUGGGGUAACGGUUCACCUAGGCGACGAUCCCUAGCUGGUCUGAGCGGAUGACCAGCCACACUGGUACUGAGACACGGUCCAGAAUGCUACGGGAGGCAGCAGUGGGUAAUAUUGCACAAUGGGCGCAAGCCUUAUGCAGCCAUGCCGCGUGUAUGAAGAAGGCCUUCGGGUAGUAAAGUACUGGCAGCGGGGAGGCGUUACCCGCAGAAGAAGCACCGGCUAACUCCGUGCCAGCAGCCGCGGUAAUUC